UGUUCGAGGAAGUUAUAUGAAAUAACAGGUGAUAUUUCUUUGUUGCCCUUUGUGAUCUCAAUACAUAUAUAUAGUAUAUAGAUAAACGGGGAAAGCGACAGAUUUAGAUAUGAAGUUAAGUCAUGUUCCGUUGACCCUGUGAGGAGCUUAUUGUCAGUUUGACUCGCCCAAAUGCAGAAUAUACACCAGCCAAACAUCAGAGAAAGCAGAGAGAGACAUGGUGAACAAGUUAAAGUUUCCCUCAGGAUGAAGAACUGACACAGAAGAAGCGUGAGGAGAGACUGGAGAUGAUCCCAUAGAAUAUGCCAUGAAGAGAAAAGUGAGUGCAUGAAUACUGGGAUCUGUUUUUUUUUUUUUUUUUUUACCUUUACCUGGACAUAAACAAGGUUAAGUUCUUAAUUCUUUACAAAUCAUAAAUAAUUUGAGUAUGGAUCUGCCAUUUCAGUUGUUAAUGGAUAUUACAUUUACCCAAGAAAAGUAUCAGGUUGCUUAUUAACAGACCAGUGAAGAAGAUGAGGCUGUAAAAUUACUCCAGCUAAGAAAAGAGGGGGCGGAGUCAAAGAUACACAUUCCAGGGGAGGAGGGGCUUAUUGUAUCUUGGCUUAUUGCCCAAUAUGAGAGUGAUGAUGAAGCCACACCCAAGAGCAGGAUGUGUGAUGAGGACGCAUUGCUGUCGCCCAGUGGUAGAGCAUUGUGUUAGCAGCGCAAAAGAAGUUGAUUUUGAUUGUACAUCAAACCGAUCUUCUCUGUGUUGGAGGGACUUCUCUACACACUCGGAGGUAAAGUGGGUCAGAAUUCGAACAGUCAGUCCUGCCAUGCAGGAAGCGAGUGCUGACCAUCAAUGACUUCCUGUUUAAGGCUCCAGCUAUUACACUGACGCAGGAUUAUUUAUAUAAUAAUCUGUUUGGACUUGUGGAGAAAUAUGAAGGUAGUGGUGUAAACACACACUCGAGAUCUGAGAACGAAGAGAACCGUCACACAGAAGGACUGGGACACUUCCUGCAGACGCUUCAGAACAGACCUCCAGAUGUUUCAGAGCAGCAGAUGGCAGUAGAAGACAAACCAAUCAUGGUUUCUCCAAUGAUGCUGCUGAAGGUUUCCUGUUUGCCCUCACAAAAGCCAACAUAGACGGACGAGUCGUGAUGCAAAGACAGGAUUGUUGAUUUUAAAGAGCAGCUUCUUUUUUCCGCUGGGGGUCACAGAAGACCGUAUUUUAGAGUUCUCUUGUGGUCACGUCAUACCCCCUGUGAGUAUCCUACCCAUAGUGCUUAGCGCAGGCCCCUCAGGACAACAGUUGGAGUUCACUUUUCAAACUAGAGACACCCACAGAUGGUAAAACGUACAUGAGCAAAUUAAAACUACCACAGAUGGUGACAAGCAAACACAACAAAUCUCUGCUCGUCUUAAUUUAUGGCCACAAAGUAUCAGCACUUGUGCACAUAUAUGUAAUAUUGUUUUAUUUGUAUAAACUUAACUUUAAAACAAGAACCAAUAUUUGUAAAUGGAAUAUGAAAGCUUGUUUUUCAUUGGAUUUCAGUUGAUGUUUGUGAGCCCCUUUGCAGAUAUGUGUAAUUGUAGAUAAUUUGGAUAAUUUUUGUUACAUUUAUCAGAAAACAAGACUUCUUAUCUUGUAAUUUUUGCAUCUAUCUUGAUUUUAAGAAUUUUUAGACAUUUGACAAAAAUACUGAGGAAGAACAUCACUUUUGUGCGUGAUCAGAAGGAGCAGUAAAAAUGAUUUAAUAUCCUUGUUAAGCUACUUUUUUGUGUGUAAAUUUAAUUAAAAAGUAACAUAUUGACAUAUUGUUUAAUUUAAUUCCUUACAUUCUCUGUACUUGUUCCAUUUUUUUUCAGUUUAAGUACGAUAAGUUUUUAGUUUUUGUUUUAAGUACUAAAAUGAAAAUUAAAAUAAAUGUAAAAACUACUACUAAUAUUACAAAAUUCUAAAUUUUACACUGUAGCUCAUCCAGGAAUUCCACGCAUACUACUGUUUGUACAGUAUGCAUCAGGGAUGUGAUGUGAUUUUGUGAUGUGAUGUAAAAUUUUUGUAUCUUGUAAAUGGUUUUCCAUUAAAGAAAAGCUCUAUGGUUUAAUAUUUAAAAUCAA